rnacentral:rRNA from 1 species
GCGAAGCAUCGGAACUUUACAAAGAAGACGACCGAAAAGCCGUUCGACUUCGCAUGAAAGUACCGACGCCGAGCUGGCGCGGCGAGUCGCGACCACUGUGGCGAGGAAAAGUCCGGCCGAACAGACCACGCUCGAGAGCACGCUCGACACGAGUCCUCCAACGCGUCUCGUCCGAACUUACCCACGGUACUUCG